rnacentral:misc_RNA from 1 species
GAUGAAGAACGCAGCGAAAUGCGAUAAGUAAUGUGAAUUGCAGAAUUCAGUGAAUCAUCGAAUCUUUGAACGCACAUUGCGCCCGCCAGUAUUCUGGCGGGCAUGCCUGUUCGAGCGUCAUUUCAACCAUCAAGCCCUGCUUGCGUUGGGGUCCUGCGGCUGCCCGCAGGCCCUGAAAACCAGUGGCGGGCUCGCUAGUCAUACCGAGCGCAGUAAUACAUCUCGCUUUGGGCGUGCGGCGGGUUCUUGCCGUUAAACACCCCCUUUUUACCAAGGUUGAUCUCGGAUCAGGUAGGAAUACCCGCUGAACUUAAGCAUAUCAAUAAGCGGAGGA